rnacentral:rRNA from 1 species
GUACACUCCUGCGGGAGGCAGCAGUGGGGAAUAUUGGACAAUGGGCGCAAGCCUGAUCCAGCCAUGCCGCGUGAGUGAUGAAGGCCCUAGGGUUGUAAAGCUCUUUCACCGGUGAAGAUAAUGACGGUAACCGGAGAAGAAGCCCCGGCUAACUUCGUGCCAGCAGCCGCGGUAAUACGAAGGGGGCUAGCGUUGUUCGGAUUUACUGGGCGUAAAGCGCACGUAGGCGGACUAUUAAGUCAGGGGUGAAAUCCCGGGGCUCAACCCCGGAACUGCCUUUGAUACUGGUAGUCUUGAGUUCGAGAGAGGUGAGUGGAAUUCCGAGUGUAGAGGUGAAAUUCGUAGAUAUUCGGAGGAACACCAGUGGCGAAGGCGGCUCACUGGCUCGAUACUGACGCUGAGGUGCGAAAGCGUGGGGAGCAAACAGGAUUAGAUACCGCUGUAGUCC